AACCUCCGCAAUGUGAGAAAUCGCGACGGGGGGAUCCCAAGUGCCAUUCUUAACGGGAUGGCUUUUCAUUAGUGUAAAGAGCUUUUGGAAUAAGAGCUGGGCAAGACCGGUGCCAGCCGCCGCGGUAACACCGGCAGCUCUAGUGGUAACAAUUUUUAUUGGGCCUAAAGCGUCCGUAGCCGGUUUAAUAAGUCUCUGGUGAAAUCCUGCAGCUUAACUGUGGGAAUUGCUGGAGAUACUAUUAGACUUGAGACCGGGAGAGGUUAGAGGUACUCCCAGGGUAGAGGUGAAAUUCUGUAAUCCUGGGAGGACCGCCUGUUGCGAAGGCGUCUAACUGGAACGGUUCUGACGGUGAGGGACGAAAGUUAGGGGCGCGAACCGGAUUAGAUACCCGGGUAGUCCUAACUGUAAACGAUGCGGACUUGGUGUUGGGGUGGCUUUGAGCUGCUUCAGUGCCGAAGGGAAGCUGUUAAGUCCGCCGCCUGGGAAGUACGGUCGCAAGACUGAAACUUAAGGAAUU
rnacentral:rRNA from 1 species